GGCGGCAUGGCCAAGUGGUAAGGCGGGGGACUGCAAAUCCUUUAUCCCCAGUUCAAAUCCGGGUGUCGC
rnacentral:tRNA from 1 species